rnacentral:rRNA from 1 species
UGAGUGAAGAAGGCCUUCGGGUUGUAAAGCUCUUUUGUCAGGGAAGAAACGGCUCAGGCUAAUAUCCUGGGCUAAUGACGGUACCUGAAGAAUAAGCACCGGCUAACUACGUGCCAGCAGCCGCGGUAAUACGUAGGGUGCAAGCGUUAAUCGGAAUUACUGGGCGUAAAGCGUGCGCAGGCGGUUUUGUAAGUCUGUCGUGAAAGCCCCGGGCUUAACCUGGGAAUUGCGAUGGAGACUGCAAGGCUUGAAUCUGGCAGAGGGGGGUAGAAUUCCACGUGUAGCAGUGAAAUGCGUAGAGAUGUGGAGGAACACCGAUGGCGAAGGCAGCCCCCUGGGUCAAGAUUGACGCUCAUGCACGAAAGCGUGGGGAGCAAACAGGAUUAGAUACCCUGGUAGUCCACGCCCUAAACGA